GGUUGUUCAGGAGAAGAAAGUUUUGGAAGUAAUUGUGGAGAAGGGCAUGCAAAAUGGACAAAAGAUUACAUUCCCUGGUGAAGCAGAUGAAGCGCCCGACACUGUUACUGGCGAUAUCGUUUUUGUCCUACAACAAAAAGAACACCCGAAGUUCAAGAGAAAGGGUGAUGACCUCUUCGUGGAGCAUACCUUGUCGCUUGUCGAGUCUCUUUGUGGUUUCCAAUUUAUUCUGACACAUUUGGAUGGCCGGCAGCUACUCAUCAAGACGCUUCCCGGUGUAG
rnacentral:misc_RNA from 1 species